rnacentral:rRNA from 1 species
UUAGUAGCGGCGAGUGAGCGGCAAAAGCUCAAAUUUGAAAUCUGGCGCCUUCGGUGUCCGAGUUGUAAUUUGAAGAUUGUAACCUUGGGGUUGGCUCUUGUCUAUGUUUCUUGGAACAGGACGUCACAGAGGGUGAGAAUCCCGUGCGAUGAGAUGCCCAAUUCUAUGUAAGGUGCUUUCGAAGAGUCGAGUUGUUUGGGAAUGCAGCUCUAAGUGGGUGGUAAAUUCCAUCUAAAGCUAAAUAUUGGCGAGAGACCGAUAGCGAACAAGUACAGUGAUGGAAAGAUGAAAAGAACUUUGAAAAGAGAGUGAAAAAGUACGUGAAAUUGUUGAAAGGGAAGGGUUUGAGAUCAGACUCGAUAUUUUGUGAGCCUUGCCUUCGUGGCGGGGUGACCCGCAGCUUAUCGGGCCAGCAUCGGUUUGGGCGGUAGGAUAAUGGCGUAGGAAUGUGACUUUACUUCGGUGAAGUGUUAUAGCCUGCGUUGAUGCUGCCUGCCUAGACCGAGGACUGCGAUUUUAUCAAGGAUGCUGGCAUAAUGAUCCCAAACCGCCCGUCU